CACUGAUGCCCCACUCGCACUAUCAUUUUCCAUGUUCAAUGGACCGUGAAAUUGGAUAAAAAAUAUAAUUGGGCAUUAAAAUUAGAAAGAUAAUAUCAUAGGGAACAUGUGUACUAAGUUUCAAGUUGAUUGGACUUCAAUUUCAUCAAAAACUACCUUGACCAAAAACUUUAACCUGAAGCGGGACAGACGGACGAACGAACGAACAGACGAACGAACAGACGGACGGACGAACGAACGAACGGACGCACAGACCAGAAAACAUAAUGCCCCCCUACUAUCGUAGGUGGGGCAUAAAAA
rnacentral:lncRNA from 1 species